rnacentral:rRNA from 1 species
AUUGAACGCUGGCGGCAGGCCUAACACAUGCAAGUCGAACGAGUGGCGGACGGGUGAGUAAUGUCUGGGAAACUGCCUGAUGGAGGGGGAUAACUACUGGAACCGGUAGCUAAUACCGCAUACCAUCGGAUGUGCCCAGAUGGGCUUAGCUGGUAGGUGGGGUAAAGGCUAACCUAGGCGACGAUCCCUAGCUGGUCUGAGAGGAUGACCAGCCACACUGGCACUGAGACACGGUCCAGACUCCUACGUGAGGCAGCAGUGGGGAAUAUUGCACAAAGGGCGCAAGCCUGAUGCAGCCAUGCCGCGUGUAUGAAGAGGGCCUUGGGGUUGUAAAGUACUUUCAGCGGGGAGGCGUUACCCGCAGAAGAAGCGCCGGCUAACUCCGUGCCAGCCGCCGCGGUAAUAC